rnacentral:rRNA from 1 species
GACGAACGCUGGCGGCGUGCUUAACACAUGCCAGUCGAACGGAAAGGCCCUGCUUGCAGGGUACUCGAGUGGCGAACGGGUGAGUAACACGUGGGUGAUCUGCCCUGCACUUCGGGAUAAGCCUGGGAAACUGGGUCUAAUACCGGAUAUGACCUUCCAUGUAGUGUGGGGGGUGGAAAGAUUUAUCGGUGUGGGAUGAGCCCGCGGCCUAUCAGCUUGUUGGUGGGGUAAUGGCCUACCAAGGCGUCGACGGGUAGCCGGCCUGAGAGGGUGGACGGCCACAUUGGGACUGAGAUACGGCCCAGACUCCUACGGGAGGCAGCAGUGGGGAAUAUUGCACAAUGGGCGGAAGCCUGAUGCAGCGACGCCGCGUGGGGGAUGACGGCCUUCGGGUUGUAAACCUCUUUCGACAGGGACGAAGCUUCGGUGACGGUACCUGUAUAAGAAGCACCGGCUAACUACGUG